rnacentral:rRNA from 1 species
CGCGGCCUAUCAGCUUGUUGGUGAGGUAAUGGCUCACCAAGGCGUCGACGGGUAGCCGGCCUGAGAGGGUGACCGGCCACACUGGGACUGAGACACGGCCCAGACUCCUACGGGAGGCAGCAGUGGGGAAUAUUGCACAAUGGGCGGAAGCCUGAUGCAGCAACGCCGCGUGAGGGAUGACGGCCUUCGGGUUGUAAACCUCUUUUAGCAGGGAAGAAGCGAAAGUGACGGUACCUGCAGAAAAAGCGCCGGCUAACUACGUGCCAGCAGCCGCGGUAAUACGUAGGGCGCAAGCGUUAUCCGGAAUUAUUGGGCGUAAAGAGCUCGUAGGCGGUUUGUCGCGUCUGCUGUGAAAUCCGGAGGCUCAACCUCCGGCCUGCAGUGGGUACGGGCAGACUAGAGUGCGGUAGGGGAGAUUGGAAUUCCUGGUGUAGCGGUGGAAUGCGCAGAUAUCAGGAGGAACACCGAUGGCGAAGGCAGAUCUCUGGGCCGUAACUGACGCUGAGGAGCGAAAGGGUGGGGAGCAAACAGGCUUAGAUACCCUGGUAGUCCGCCCCGUAAACGUUGGGAACUAGUUGUGGGGUCCAUUCCACGGAUUCCGUGACGCAGCUAACGCAUUAAGUUCCCCGCCUGGGGAGUACGG